GAGGCAGCAAGCUUCGAAUACUGCCCAACCCUACUCCCAAAAUUUUCAAGACCCUCAGAAUUUUCAUCUCUACCAUCCCUCAACUCAAUUUCAACACCCUCCUCCUCCAACCCAAAGAAAUACAGCCUUUGAGGAGAAAGUGUUGACUGCCCUUCAAGGUUUGGAGGCAAACAUACAACUAUUGCACUGUCACACGCAAUCAAUUGCUAAGCUAGAAUCCCAAAUGGGUCAACUAGCCAAUGCAUUAAACA
rnacentral:lncRNA from 1 species